GGGGUCCCAGGCUGCAUCACAGAGACAUUCCAACAGCUGGCCUCCCUGGUAAUGCCGUGACUUGAGGCCCCAUUUCCUUAAACCCUUCCCUGGGAAAUAGUGACUUCUGUGUAGUCACCAAGAGAAUCUCCAGGGAAUGUAUUAUGAGGCGUCCUUAAAAAGAGGCCUAGGGGCUUCGUAAGAAAUGGACUGUAGGUCUAGAACAAGUAUUGAUAUCGAACCUCUUCAUCUCAAGUUCAUGUGCCCAAUGCACAGUAGGCUAGUCACUGAGACACCAGUGCUUGGAGAUGGAGAAGCUUUUAUUUGAAUUGGCCAAAAUGGAAGCACCUUGUUCUCUCAAAUGCAAGUUACCAAAGGAAGACAGCAGAACCAGCAAGACCAUAAAGCUGAUCCGAGGAGAAUUCUCAGAACAGAAGUUUAUAUAGAAGCAGGACGCAUGCUGAGAAAAGUCAGCUUGGUUAGAGAAAUCUGCUCAUCUCUGCAGCUUCAAAGCAGCACGCAGGAAUCAGAGAUGCUUACAUCAGCAGGAGACCUGGGAGAUGUUCUAUGGCAUCUCUGCCAUCGUACAGCUACCACAGAGGCACCCAGAGAUGAAUAAUCAUGGGAACCACACUUCCCUUCAUCAGGAUUAGCCUAGGGUUGGAUGUGUGACUCAAUUCCAGCUAAGAAGACAGAGAAGUCUGUUGGGGACCUGGUGAAUGUUUUUUCCCUUUAAGAAAAAAUCUGGAGCCUUCUGUUUUCCAUCUUGGAACAUAACUGUGAAGAUGUAGAGCUUGGAAUUGUAGCAGCCAUGUAGUGACUACAAGGUGACAAGCCUGAGGAGAGAAGCUGAAAGGCCGUUAGGGAGAAGCUAUGUUCUUGACGAUAUCGUUGAGCCUCGGUCAGAACCAGUCCUGGAAUGGCCAACCUCCAGACUUCUUGUUACUGCAGAUAAAUAAAGGUCUACAAGGCUUAAGCCGCUAUUGCUUAGGAAUUCUGUUUCUUGCAGCCAAAUACAUCCUAACAAAAUCAUUCCCCAGCAGAGUUUUGAGUUCCUUGAAGCAACGAUACUGUAUUUAAUUUCUUUUUAUCUCUCAUAAUACCCUGGAAGAUUUUCAUCCAUACG
rnacentral:lncRNA from 1 species